rnacentral:antisense_RNA from 1 species
GGAAUCAGACCUAUAUGCCUCGUGUUUAACUGUCCAACUUUUUGGGGUCAGUACAAAGUGAGGCUACCCUAUGCCUGAACACCAUAAGGUUAGCCUCUUACUCGUUGGAAAUCAACACAGGAGGCUGGGAAUG